AUUGAACGCUGGCGGCAUGCUUUACACAUGCAAGUCGAACGGUAACAGGCCGCAAGGUGCUGACGAGUGGCGAACGGGUGAGUAAUGCAUCGGAACGUGCCCAGUCGUGGGGGAUAACGCAGCGAAAGCUGCGCUAAUACCGCAUACGAUCUAUGGAUGAAAGCGGGGGACCGUAAGGCCUCGCGCGAUUGGAGCGGCCGAUGUCAGAUUAGGUAGUUGGUGGGGUAAAGGCUCACCAAGGCGACGAUCCGUAGCGGGUCUGAGAGGAUGAUCCGCCAAACUGGGACUGAGACACGGCCCAGACUCCUACGGGAGGCAGCAGUGGGGAAUUUUGGACAAUGGGCGCAAGCCUGAUCCAGCAAUGCCGCGUGCAGGAUGAAGGCCUUCGGGUUGUAAACUGCUUUUGUACGGAACGAAAAGCCCUGGGUUAAUACCCUGGGGUCAUGACGGUACCGUAAGAAUAAGCACCGGCUAACUACGUGCCAGCAGCCGCCGCAGUAA
rnacentral:rRNA from 1 species